rnacentral:tRNA from 1 species
CCGAUGUAGCUCAGCUGGCUAGAGCAGCUGAUUUGUAAUCAGCAGGUCGUGGGUUCGAGUCCCUCCAUC